AGAGUUUGAUCAUGGCUCAGAACGAACGCUGGCGGCAGGCCUAACACAUGCAAGUCGAGCGCCCGCAAGGGAGCGGCAGACGGGUGAGUAACGCGUGGGAACGUGCCCUUUGGUUCGGAAUAUUCCCGGGAAACUGGGAGCAAAACCGGAUAAGCCCUUCGGGGGAAAGUUUACGCCAAAGGAUCGGCCCGCGUUAGAUUAGGUAGUUGGUGGGGUAACGGCCUACCAAGCCUACGAUCUAUAGCUGAUCUGAGAGGAUGAUCAGCCACACUGGGACUGAGACACGGCCCAGACUCCUACGGGAGGCGGCAGUGGGGAAUCUUGGACAAUGGGCGCAAGCCUGAUCCAGCCAUGCCGCGUGGAUGACUGAAGGCCCUAGGGUUGUAAAGUCCUUUCGACGGGGACGAUAAUGACGGUACCCGUAGAAGAAGCCCCGGCUAACUUCGUGCCAGCAGCCGCGGUAAUACGAAGGGGGCUAGCGUUGUUCGGAUUUACUGGGCGUAAAGGGCGCGUAGGCGGAUUUUUAAGUCGGGGGUGAAAUCCCGGAGCUCAACUCCGGAACUGCCUUCGAUACUGAAAGUCUGGAGCACGGUAGAGGUGAGUGGAAUUCCGAGUGUAGAGGUGAAAUUCGUAGAUAUUCGGAGGAACACCAGUGGCGAAGGCGGCUCACUGGACCGUUGCUGACGCUGAGGCGCGAAAGCGUGGGGAGCAAACAGGAUUAGAUACCCCGGUAGUCCAA
rnacentral:rRNA from 1 species